rnacentral:rRNA from 1 species
CUACACACGUGCUACAAUGGCGCGUACAGAGGGACGCCAAACCGCGAGGUGGAGCAGACCCCAGAAAGCGCGUCGUAGUUCGGAUUGCAGUCUGCAACUCGACUGCAUGAAGUCGGAAUCGCUAGUAAUCGCGGAUCAGCAUGCCGCGGUGAAUACGUUCCCGGGCCUUGUACACACCGCCCGUCACACCAUGGGAGUAGAUUGUACCAGAAGCGGCUAGCCUAACCUUCGGGAGGGCGGUUACCACGGUAUGGUUUAUGACUGGGGUGAAGUCGUAACAAGGUAGCCGUAGGGGAACCUGCGGCUGGAUCACCUCCUUUAAAGAAAAGGGUCUAGACCCCACACACGCCACUCGGUAAGGAAUU